GAGUUUGAUCUUGGCUCAGGACGAACGCUGGCGGCGUGCCUAAUACAUGCAAGUCGAGCGAAUCAAUAGGAGCUUGCUCCUGUUGAUUAGCGGCGGACGGGUGAGUAACACGUGGGCAACCUGCCUGUAAGACUGGGAUAACACCGGGAAACCGGUGCUAAUACCGGAUAAUUCUUUCCCUCUCAUGAGGGGAAGUUGAAAGUCGGUUUCGGCUGACACUUACAGAUGGGCCCGCGGCGCAUUAGCUAGUUGGUGAGGUAACGGCUCACCAAGGCGACGAUGCGUAGCCGACCUGAGAGGGUGAUCGGCCACACUGGGACUGAGACACGGCCCAGACUCCUACGGGAGGCAGCAGUAGGGAAUCUUCCACAAUGGACGAAAGUCUGAUGGAGCAACGCCGCGUGAGCGAUGAAGGCCUCCGGGUCGUAAAGCUCUGUUGUUAGGGAAGAACAAGUAUCGGAGUAACUGCCGGUACUUGACGGUACCUAACCAGAAAGCCACGGCUAACUACGUGCCAGCCGCCGC
rnacentral:rRNA from 1 species